AUUGAACGCUGGCGGCAGGCCUAACACAUGCAAGUCGAACGAGUGGCGGACGGGUGAGUAAUGUCUGGGAAACUGCCUGAUGGAGGGGGAUAACUACUGGAAACUGUAGCUAAUACCGCAUACCAUCGGAUGUGCCCAGAUGGGAUUAGCUAGUAGGUGGGGUAACGGGUCACCUAGGCGACGAUCCCUAGCUGGUCUGAGAGGAUGACCAGCCACACUGGAAAUGAGACACGGUCCAGACUCGUACGUGAGGCAGUAGUGGGGAAUAUUGCACAAUGGGCGCAAGCCUGAUGCAGCCAUGCCGCGUGUAUGAAGAAGGCCUUCGGGUUGUAAAGUACUUUCAGCGAGGAGGCGUGACUCGCAGAAGAAGCACCGGCUAACUCCGUGCCAGCAGCCGCGGUAAUUC
rnacentral:rRNA from 1 species